GAUGAACGCUGGCGGCGUGCCUAAUACAUGCCAGUCGAGCGAACGGACGAGAAGCUUGCUUCUCUGAUGUUAGCGGCGGAAGGGUGAGUAACACGUGGAUAACCUACCUAUAAGACUGGGAUAACUUCGGGAAACCGGAGCUAAUACCGGAUAAUAUUUUGAACCGCAUGGUUCAAAAGUGAAAGACGGUCUUGCUGUCACUUAUAGAUGGAUCCGCGCUGCAUUAGCUAGUUGGUAAGGUAACGGCUUACCAAGGCAACGAUGCAUAGCCGACCUGAGAGGGUGAUCGGCCACACUGGAACUGAGACACGGUCCAGACUCCUACGGGAGGCAGCAGUAGGGAAUCUUCGGCAAUGGGCGAAAGCCUGACGGAGCAACGCCGCGUGAGUGAUGAAGGUCUUCGGAUCGUAAAACUCUGUUAUUAGGGAAGAACAUAUGUGUAAGUAACUGUGCACAUCUUGACGGUACCUAAUCAGAAAGCCACGGCUAACUACGUG
rnacentral:rRNA from 1 species